UAGAGUAGCUCAGCUGGUAAAGCACGAGACUCUUAAUCUCGUGGGUUUGAGCCCAUGGUGGGCAAAA